GGCGUCGUCGCAUAAUCCGGUAGUGCGUCCGCCUUGAGAGCGGAUCCCGCAAGGGGCUGCAGGUUCAAAUCCUGCCGACGCCG
rnacentral:tRNA from 1 species